rnacentral:rRNA from 1 species
CCUACGGGUGGCAGCAGUAGGGAAUCUUUCACAAUGGGCGAAAGCCUGAUGGAGCAACGCCGCGUGCAUGAUGAAGGCCUUCGGGUUGUAAACUGCUUUUAUAAGCGAGAAAUAUGAUGGUAACUUAUGAAUAAGGAUCGGCUAACUACGUGCCAGCAGCCGCGGUCAUACGUAGGAUCCGAGUAUUAUCCGGAGUGACUGGGUGUAAAGAGUUGCGUAGGUGGCAUAGUAAGUAGCUAGGGAAAUCUGGUGGCUCAACCAUUCAGACUAUUAGCGAAACUGGUAAGCUGGAGAGCGUUAGGGGUAAGUGGAAUUUCUGGUGUAGGAGUGAAAUGCGUAGAUAUUAGGAGGAACACCGAGAGCGUAGGCAGGUUACUGGGACGGUUCUGACGCUAAGGCACGAAAGCGUAGGGAGCAAACGGGAUUAGAUACCCUUGUAGUC